rnacentral:rRNA from 1 species
UACAGAGGGGCAAGCGUUGUUCGGAAUUACUGGGCGUAAAGGGCGCGUAGGCGGCCUUCUAAGUCGAACGUGAAAUCCCUGGGCUCAACCCAGGAACUGCGUCCGAUACUGGAAGGCUUGAAUCCGGGAGAGGGAUGCGGAAUUCCAGGUGUAGCGGUGAAAUGCGUAGAUAUCUGGAGGAACACCAAUGGCGAAGGCAGCUCGCUGGGACGGUACUGACGGCUGAGACGGCGAAAGCGUGGGGAGCAACAGG